GGCCUUUGAAAGGGGAAGGUCUGUCUCCAGAGCAGGGUAGGUAGCACCAGGAACCACACAGUGCUGGGCAGGCCUGAUGGAGCAGAAGGAUUCCUUUUAGGUUUUCAGGUCAUUGAAGAGUUCCUGAUGGAGCAUGUUGGCCUGUUACUACCCUUCCUAGCUUUCCUUUGAAACAAGGACCUUUGCUGUGAUUAAACACUUGAGACCCCAUUGAUAUGCAGAGCUGAAAGUGGAAAGGUGCAUUAUUGUAUUAUCCUGCCUCCUUGGCAUGAUCUCUGACUGAGUUGCUGAGUCAGAUCCAGCAUGAAGCUGGGAGGUAGUCACUUUAGGCACUAGCCAGUUUCAGAGGCUUUCAACCUCCAUAAGAAGCCAUCUUGAGAUGUUCCUUUCCUUUGAGAGGUUCCCAUGUCUCUCUCCCAGGAGUCUGCCUAGGAUCCCUUGUAAUGGUGUCAGCUCUAAUUGGCUUUUACUGGCUUUUUGCUGUCCUGUGUCAGCCAGCAGAAGUGAAAUAAAACAUAUUGAAGCUGGCUGGACCCAUUUCAGUCCAUGCCUUCCCCCUGUGGCCCAACAACUUGCACAGAUGCCUACAGAAAGAUUGCAAAACAUUUUUUCUCAAGGCAACUGAUGUGUUCCCCUUUUAUUUCCUGCUGGGGAGACAUUUUGCCAGCAUAAGUGAUUCCCCCCCUUCCUUUUAAAAACCCUUUGAUUUUUGUUUUGUUUUCUUGCUCUCCAUCCCCACAAUUACAAAGCCUAAAGUCUGGGCGUAACAACUUUGCUUUUCCCAGCUGACAUGAUUUAACCUCUUGCAAUGGAGAUCAGCACAAGCCAAUAUUCUGAACCAAGGUGUCAGCAGAACACCUAAUGAUAUUCUGAGGUGCAGUGGAGGGGACAACAUGCUCAAAUGUGGAGUAUGAUCAACAUACCAGAGUCUUUAACACAAUCUGAGAAGCAGCUGUACAAGCCAAAGGGGUGGGGGGGAAAUCCCAUAAAUAUAAAGGGAAG